GAUGAACGCUGGCGGCGUGCCUAAUACAUGCAAGUCGAGCGAACGGACGAGAAGCUUGCUUCGCUGAUGUUAGCGGCGGACGGGUAAGUAACACGUGCAUAACCUACCUAUAAGACUGGGAUAACUUCGGGAAACCGGCGCUAAUACCGGAUGAUAUUUUGAACCGCAUGGUUCAAAAGUGAAAGACGGUCUUGCUGUAACUUAUAGAUGGAUCCGCGCUGCAUUAGCUAGUUGGUAAGGUAACGGCUUACCAAGGCAACGAUGCAUAGCCGACCGGAGAGGGUGAUCGGCCACACUGGAAGGGAGACACGGUCCAGACUCCUACGGGAGGCAGCAGUAGGGAAUCUUCCGCAAGGGGCGAAAGCCUGACGGAGCAACGCCGCGUGAGGGAUGAGGGUCUUCGGGUCGUAAAACUCUGUUAUUAGGGAAGAACAUAUGUGUAAGUAACUGUGCAGAUCUUGACGGUACCUAAUCAGAAAGCCACGGCUAACUACGUG
rnacentral:rRNA from 1 species